rnacentral:misc_RNA from 1 species
AGCAGCCGCGGUAAUUCCAGCUCCAAUAGCGUAUAUUAAAGUUGUUGCGGUUAAAAGCUCGUAGUUGAACUUCGGGGUUUACCCAUUGGUCAGGCUUAAUUGUCUGUACUGGUGAGAUGAAUCUCUACCUUCUGAGGAACUUUCAUGCCAUUUAUUUGGUGUGGUUGGAAAUCAGGACUGUUACUUUGAAAAAUUGAGUGUUUAAAGCAGACUAUCGUCUGAAUACAUUAGCAUGGAAUAAUGAAAUAGGACGGACUGAUUCUAUUUCGUUGGUUUCUAGGAUCACCGUAAUGAUUAAUAGGGAUAGUUGGGGGCAUUAGUAUUCAAUUGUCAGAGUGAAAUUCUUGGAUUUAUUGAAGACUAACUACUGCGAAAGCAUUUGCCAAGGAUGUUUUCAUUAAUCAAGAACGAAAGUUAGGGAUCGAAGACGAUCAGAUACCGUCGUAGUC